GAUGAACGCUGGCGGCGUGCCUAAUACACGCAAGUCGAGCGAACAGACGAGGAGCUUGCUCCUCUGACGUUAGCGGCGGACGGGUGAGUAACACGUGGAUAACCUACCUAUAAGACUGGGAUAACUUCGGGAAACCGGAGCUAAUACCGGAUAAUAUAUUGAACCGCAUGGUUCAAUAGUGAAAGACGGUUUUGCUGUCACUUAUAGAUGGAUCCGCGCCGCAUUAGCUAGUUGGUAAGGUAACGGCUUACCAAGGCAACGAUGCGUAGCCGACCUGAGAGGGUGAUCGGCCACACUGGAACUGAGACACGGUCCAGACUCCUACGGGAGGCAGCAGUAGGGAAUCUUCCGCAAUGGGCGAAAACCUGACGGAGCAACGCCGCGUGAGUGAUGAAGGUCUUCGGAUCGUAAAACUCUGUUAUUAGGGAAGAACAAAUGUGUAAGUAACUAUGCACGUCUUGACGGUACCUAAUCAGAAAGCCACGGCUAACUACGUG
rnacentral:rRNA from 1 species